UCCAACCUCUGUUGGGGUUCGAGAGAUGA
rnacentral:sRNA from 1 species